CAGCAGCCGCGGGAAAACAGAGGGUGCGAGCGUUAAUCGGAUUUACUGGGCGUAAAGCGUGCGUAGGCGGCUUCUUAAGUCGGAUGUGAAAUCCCUGAGCUUAACUUAGGAAUUGCAUUCGAUACUGGGAAGCUAGAGUAUGGGAGAGGAUGGUAGAAUUCCAGGUGUAGCGGUGAAAUGCGUAGAGAUCUGGAGGAAUACCGAUGGCGAAGGCAGCCAUCUGGCCUAAUACUGACGCUGAGGUACGAAAGCAUGGGGAGCAAACAGGAUUAGAUACCCGUGUAGUCCCUGUCUCUUAUAC
rnacentral:rRNA from 1 species